rnacentral:rRNA from 1 species
AUGAAUUUCCUGGCCUGGAACUGUCGAGGGUUGGGGUUGGACUCGGCAGUUGGCGAACUACGUGACCUGAUACGGUCAUACAACCCAGCGGUGGUGUUUCUAUCGGAAACAAAGAAGAAGGCGUGAGUGAUGGAGAAACUUAAGUGGAGUUUGGGAUUCAGGAGUGGUGUUGCGGUGGAUUGUCAAGGGUUGAGCGGGGGUCUAGUGCUGUGGCGGAGAGAAAAU